rnacentral:rRNA from 1 species
GUGGGGAAUCUUCCGCAAUGGACGAAAGUCUGACGGAGCAACGCCGCGUGAGUGAUGAAGGUCUUCGGAUUGUAAAGCUCUGUUAAUCGGGACGAAAGAGCCUAGUGUGAAUAAUGCUAGGAAGUGACGGUACCGGAAUAGAAAGCCACGGCUAACUACGUGCCAGCAGCCGCGGUAAUACGUAGGUGGCAAGCGUUGUCCGGAAUUAUUGGGCGUAAAGCGCGCGCAGGCGGAUCUGCCAGUCUGUCUUAAAAGUUCGGGGCUUAACCCCGUGAUGGGAUGGAAACUACAGAUCUAGAGUAUCGGAGAGGAAAGUGGAAUUCCUAGUGUAGCGGUGAAAUGCGUAGAUAUUAGGAGGAACACCAGUGGCGAAAGCGGCUUUCUGGACGACAACUGACGCUGAGGCGCGAAAGCCAGGGGAGCGAACGGGAUUAGAAACCCGUGUAGUCC